rnacentral:rRNA from 1 species
GACGGAUGGGGCUAGCGUUGUUCGGAAUUACUGGGCGUAAAGCGCGUGUAGGCGGCUCGGUAAGUCUGCUGUGAAAGUCCAGGGCUCAACCCUGGGAUGCCGGUGGAUACUGUCGAGCUCGAGUCCGGAAGAGGCGAGUGGAAUUCCUGGUGUAGCGGUGAAAUGCGCAGAUAUCAGGAGGAACACCAAUGGCGAAGGCAGCUCGCUGGGACGUGACUGACGCUGAGACGCGAAAGCGUGGGGAGCAAACAGG